rnacentral:rRNA from 1 species
AUGGGGUGCAGCAGGCGAGAAAACUUUGCAAUGUGCGCAAGCACGACAAGGUUAAUCCGAGUGUUUCCUGCUUAAGGAAUCUUUUGUUAGUUGUAAAACCACUAUCGAAUAAGGGGUGGGCAAGUUCUGGUGUCAGCCGCCGCGGUAAAACCAGCACCUCAAGUGGUCAGGAGGAUUAUUGGGCCUAAAGCAUCCGUAGCCUGUUCUAUAAGUUUCCGGUUAAAUCCAUUAGCUCAACUAAUGGGCCGCCGAAAAUACUGUAGAACUAGGGAGUGGGAGAGGUAGACGGUAUUCGGUAGGAAAGGGUAAAAUCCUUUGAUCUAUUGAGGACCACCUGUGGCGAAGGCGGUCUACCAGAACACGUUCGACGGUGAGGGAUGAAAGCUGGGGGAGCAAACCGGGUUAGAUACCCGGGUAGUCCCAGCUGUAAACGAUGCAGACUCGGUGAUGCCCUGGCUUGUGGCCAGUGCAGUGCCGCAGGGAAGCCGUUAAGUUUGCCGCCUGGGAAGUACGUACGCAAGUAUGAAACUUAAAGGAAUUGGCGGGGGAGCAC